CGGCCACAUUGGGACUGAGAUACGGCCCAGACUCCUACGGGAGGCAGCAGUGGGGAAUAUUGCACAAUGGGCGCAAGCCUGAUGCAGCGACGCCGCGUGAGGGAUGGAGGCCUUCGGGUUGUAAACCUCUUUUAUCGGGGAGCAAGCGAGAGUGAGUUUACCCGUUGAAUAAGCACCGGCUAACUACGUGCCAGCAGCCGCGGUAAUACGUAGGGUGCAAGCGUUAUCCGGAAUUAUUGGGCGUAAAGGGCUCGUAGGCGGUUCGUCGCGUCCGGUGUGAAAGUCCAUCGCUUAACGGUGGAUCUGCGCCGGGUACGGGCGGGCUGGAGUGCGGUAGGGGAGACUGGAAUUCCCGGUGUAACGGUGGAAUGUGUAGAUAUCGGGAAGAACACCAAUGGCGAAGGCAGGUCUCUGGGCCGUUACUGACGCUGAGGAGCGAAAGCGUGGGGAGCGAACAGGAUUAGAUACCCUGGUAGUCCACGCCGUAAACGGUGGAUGCUGGAUGUGGGGCCCGUUCCACGGGUUCCGUGUCGGAGCUAACGCGUUAAGCAUCCCGCCUGGGGAGUACGGCCGCAAGGCUAAAACUCAAAGAAAUUGACGGGGGCCCGCACAAGCGGCGGAGCAUGCGGAUUAAUUCGAUGCAACGCGAAGAACCUUACCUGGGCUUGACAUGUUCCCGACGGUCGUAGAGAUACGGCUUCCCUUCGGGGCGGGUUCACAGGUGGUGCAUGGUCGUCGUCAGCUCGUGUCGUGAGAUGUUGGGUUAAGUCCCGCAACGAGCGCAACCCUCGCCCCGUGUUGCCAGCGGAUUAUGCCGGGAACUCACGGGGGACCGCCGGGGUUAACUCGGAGGAAGGUGGGGAUGACGUCAGAUCAUCAUGCCCCUUACGUCCAGGGCUUCACGCAUGCUACAAUGGCCGGUACAACGGGAUGCGACGCGGCGACGCGGAGCGGAUCCCUGAAAACCGGUCUCAGUUCGGAUCGGAGUCUGCAACCCGACUCCAUGAAGGCGGAGUCGCUAGUAAUCGCGGAUCAGCAACGCCGCGGUGAAUGCGUUCCCGGGCCUUGUACACACCGCCCGUCAAGUCAUGAAAGUGGGCAGCACCCGAAGCCGGUGGCCUAACCCCUUGUGGGAUGGAGCCGUCUAAGGUGAGGCUCGUGAUUGGGACUAAGUCGUAACAAGGUAGCCGUACCGGAAGGUGCGGCUG
rnacentral:rRNA from 1 species